rnacentral:rRNA from 1 species
UGCAUGUCUAAGUACAUGCCGUAUUAAGGCGAAACCGCGAAUGGCUCAUUAAAUCAGUCAUGGUUCCUUGGAUCGUACCUUACUACUUGGAUAACUGUGGCAAUUCUAGAGCUAAUACAUGCAGCAGAGCUCCGACCUUCGGGGACGAGCGCUUUUAUUAGACCAAAACCAAUCGGACCUCGUGUCCGUCCUUUGUGGUGACUCUGUAUAACUUUGGGCUGAUCGCACGGGCCUGUCCCGGCGACGUAUCUUUCAAGUGUCUGCCUUAUCAACUUUCGAUGGUAGGUUACGCGCCUACCAUGGUCGUAACGGGUAACGGGGAAUCAGGGUUCGAUUCCGGAGAGGGAGCCUGAGAAACGGCUACCACAUCCAAGGAAGGCAGCAGGCGCGCAAAUUACCCACUCCCAGAACGGGGAGGUAGUGACGAAAAAUAACAAUACGGGACUCUUUUGAGACCCCGUAAUUGGAAUGAGUACACUCUAAAUCCUUUAACCAGGAUCCAUUGGAGGGUAAGUCUGGUGCCAGCAACCGCGGUAAUUCCAGCUCCAAUAGCGUAUAUUAAAGUUGUUGCGGUUAAAAAGCUCGUAGUUGGAUCUCAGUUCCAGACGGGUGGUCCUCCUACCGGUGGUUACUACCUGUUCUGAACAGUCAGCCGGUUUCUCUUGAUGAUCUUCACCGGUUGUCUUGGGUGACCGGCAAGUUUACUUUGAAAAAAUUAGAGUGCUCAAAGCAGGCGUGACGCCUGAAUAAUGGUGCAUGGAAUAAUGGAAUAGGACCUCGGUUCUAUUUUGUUGGUUUUCGGAACACGAGGUAAUGAUUAAGAGGGACAGACGGGGGCAUUCGUAUUGCGACGCUAGAGGUGAAA